AGAGCUGGUGUUGCCCUCUCAGCAAGCUGGAGACCCCAGAGUUUGCUGGUGGACGUCUUAGAUUCCAUGACUCUAUGAUCUUUCUCACCAUUACAGAGAAGUGCAUUGUGCUGGGGCCCUUCUGUCGUGGAGGUAAAACUGCCUGGACUCACCUUGCUGGGGGCACUCCAUACACAGGCCUCCACCCGCAGGUGCCCAGAGGUGACAAGGAAAGGGGCAUAGUUUUUUUUGUUACCACUGGGCUGACACGAGAAGAGUCGGUGCUCACCUGCAAAAUGAGACACUGUGAGGAACUGGCUAGAGUUUGGGUUCCUCAGUUACUCUGAUGCUUUCUAUGAACGUGCACUUCCUUUGCAAGUCAACUCAUGACUGAAAAACGAAAGGUUUGAAGCAGUGAUGCCAGCUCCCCAAAUCAGUGAUGCCUUCCCUGUACUGGUGGGAUGAAGAGAAGCCAAACACACAGCAAAAGAUGUGGCCAGCCUGAAAUUGUCUCAUUGCUGUGGAAACCCAGAGGGACUGGUGGCAAGUGAAUAAAGGCCAGUGAAUCUCAGUCAAUAUCGCAACUAUGACGCUCUGCUGUUAAGGUGACUGGCUAGACCAUGAUCAGCAUCCCAUGGUAGAAGACCUCAUAGAAGAACUUGAGUUAUGGCUGAGGACCUUUGGAACUAGGUUGCAAGCGCACCUUGAAUUCUGGGAGGAGAGAAUGGAGACAGGUUUAAAGCGCACCUUCUGCCCCGUGAGACAAAAAGAUGAGUUACAUUUACUGUGCUGAAAGGGUUAAUGUGUGAAAAUGGAAACAUUCAAGGCUGUAUUAGUGACAGUUUCAUUGUGCUGGCAAAAGAAAAGGACAAAACGCAGCUACAGUUUACUCUUCUUGCUAUAUAAUGAUUUGUUUUAUAUUACUGUGAGAAUUCAUACUGUAUCCAGAGAAGGUGGAAAGCUGAAAUGGCGAUACUGCCUCUGUUGAGUACAUAUUUUGGUGCUCCUCAAGUUUUGAAUGUGCCGAUUGUUGCCUUUUGAGAAGCUUCCAAUAGAGAAUGCUGCUCUUCACUUUUAGGUUUCUUCCCAGCCCUCAUGGAAGUCUUGAAAGAGAAAAUACCUGGCUUUGUGAGGAAGGUCUAAGCAACUGAAAUGCAGUCCUGCCCUUUGGUGCCUACUGCAGCAGAUAAAAUAAUACGGGGGAGUAUUUUAACUCCAUGAAUUUGUCCAGCGUGGGAACCAGCGCUCUUAGAUACAUCUGCCAGAGGAAAAUAUGUUGUUUAGCAAGUUCACAAAAUAUUGACCAUUCGGUACAGGUUGUUCAUGCUCGCAGAGGUUAUUGUCGGUGUUAGGGAACCACUGAGUAAACAACUGGAUGAGAGUUUGCAUCAAAGCUUUAUUUCCCAUAGACUCCUGCAACUUUUCCUGAAAACAUUUCUCUACACAUCUGAAAAAUCUUUCCUCUAACAGAUGUUAAUGUUUAUAGGACAGUUACAGCAGAAACAUAACUUGGGUGUAUAUCAGUGCUUGCCUGGAGUAAACUCCACCAUGGAGUUCACAGUCCUUCAGCAAAGCCAGGAGAAGGGACACCAACAUAGCGUCUCUCAUCUAAACCUGUGUUUAAGGAUGCUGUAAUCAUUUCUUGGGAGAUGUUCAUUUGCAUCUGCACCACCCAGUCCUGUUAAAAUCCUCCCAAAAAGUCAGGAGCAAACAAAACAAUAUUCUGCUGCCUUCUUGGGUUUCCUAUGGUAGUGCUCUUGAUGGGAUUGUCACCUUUCCCUCUGGCAGCGAUAGGAUUUGACUCCCAGAAGUUCUGGGCUGGACCCAGAGCCCUUAAAUAUCAUGUGUGUAAGCAGUGGAGGUCAUCUGCUAGCCACUGGAUGGCAAAGUGGCUCCUGCAACACAGAGGAGACCAAACAAGAAAGAGUACAAAUGCAAAUGCAAAAUUACAUUGCAUUUACAAUGCAAAACUUACAUUUUUCUUAGAAGACUGAUAGCAAAUGGUCAGUCUGUAAAGAAAGAAAUGUUGCUCUCACUUGAACUCAAACUUAGUUUUGGUUUCUGCAGAUGGAAAAUUAAUGUUCAUGACAGAGUUCAUUGCUAGAGGAAUGCUGCCUCAGAAUGAAACUUUGGUUUUCUUAUUUUAUUUCAGUAUAAAACAUUGCUAUUUUACCCUUAGAAAAUAACCAACAUUCCCGGUAGGAAAUUGUUGGUCUGUUAAGAUAAACAAAGUCAUCUGUAGCUGAUGUGAACGGUCUUUUGCUUCUUCUGUACAAGGCACGUAAAUCUCUCUCUUGGCUCUUCUAACCAGUCUGGUUCUCUCAUCUUUGCCCAUGGAAAGGCCCUGGCUUAAUUCCUUCUGAAUCAUAUUCUGUUUGUCUCAUUUCCUAUUGCUGUGAUUAAAGCUAAGCUGGGCAAACACAGGCCGUAACUUCUACACAUAGGCUUGCUAAGCUGAAGUGUAUAUUAUUAAAAUGUCUUGAAUUCACUUCUACUAUCUGUUCAUUUAAUGCACUAAAACCUGCUAUGUGGGUUAAGAAUAAAUGAUAGCGUUACCACAU
rnacentral:lncRNA from 7 species